GUGUUCGCUUCAGCAGCACAUAUACUAAAAUUGGAAUGGUACAGAGAUUAGCAUGGUCCCUGUGCAAGGAUGACAUGCAAAUUCAUGAAGCGUUCCAUAUUUUU